rnacentral:sRNA from 1 species
UGUGUGGUCCGGAGUCAGAGGGUUAUCUUUUCGGUCCCUUCGGGGAAUUUCCCUCUGGCACACACUCGACCACCAC